UGGGGAAUAUUGGACAAUGGGCGAAAGCCUGAUCCAGCCAUGCCGCGUGUGUGAAGAAGGUCUUCGGAUUGUAAAGCACUUUAAGUUGGGAGGAAGGGCAUUAACCUAAUACGUUAGUGUUUUGACGUUACCGACAGAAUAAGCACCGGCUAACUCUGUGCCAGCAGCCGCGGUAAUACAGAGGGUGCAAGCGUUAAUCGGAAUUACUGGGCGUAAAGCGCGCGUAGGUGGUUUGUUAAGUUGGAUGUGAAAGCCCCGGGCUCAACCUGGGAACUGCAUCCAAAACUGGCAAGCUAGAGUACGGUAGAGGGUGGUGGAAUUUCCUGUGUAGCGGUGAAAUGCGUAGAUAUAGGAAGGAACACCAGUGGAGAAGGCGACCACCUGGACUGAUACUGACACUGAGGUGCGAAAGCGUGGGGAGCAAACA
rnacentral:rRNA from 1 species